rnacentral:rRNA from 1 species
UACGUAGGUGGCAAGCGUUGUCCGGAUUUACUGGGCGUAAAGAGCGCGCAGGCGGUCGUUCAAGUCGCGUGUGAAAGCCCCCGGCUCAACUGGGGAGGGUCACGCGAUACUGAUCGACUCGAAGGCAGGAGAGGGAAGUGGAAUUCCCGGUGUAGUGGUGAAAUGCGUAGAUAUCGGGAGGAACACCAGUGGCGAAGGCAGCUCGCUGGGACGCAACUGACGCUGAGACGCGAAAGCGUGGGGAGCAAACAGG